CAUUUUGACAUUUUGACAUUUUGACAUUUUGACAUUUUGACAUUUUGACAUUUUGACAUUUUGACAUUUUGACAUUAUGACAUUUUGACAUUUUGACAUUUUGACAAUUUGUCAAUUUCUCGGGUAAGUUUUCAAAAAGCCGUAAGAGCCACCGUGACCUCUUACACUAAUUUUCGUUUUUCUCGAAAAUGAAACAAAAUUUCAUUUAUUUUAAGUAUGGGGCACUUUAAGGACGUGUAGAUGAACAAUCUCGAGCAUUUUAAAGUUUGAAGUUACAAAAAUAAUAAUGUCAAGAUAAUUACUAAACCUACCACAGAUAUCUUUUGGUAAUUUUGAAAGUUGUCACAUUUUUAUUAAAAAUCAUUACAAUAUACUUUAGGCAUCAUAUUACAAUACUUAUCCAUCUAAUACAAUGGUGAAAGAACAGUAAUACUCGACCAAAAAUUUAGGAAUCAAAAGGUAUGACGAAUUUGUGUUUGACUUGAAAACGUUAUUACAGAAAUCGUAAUUUGUUUUCGUGUUCCUGAGUAGUUAAAAAUUUGCGUAAUUAUUUCAGCAUUUUUCAAAUGUAAUUACAUUUCUGCAUUGCCAAAUUGUUUCGAUAUUAGGUAACUUUACUACCCAUUUAUUGUGACAAAUCAGACACACCUUAUAUAUUCGAAGAACUUUGGUGCUCGUCUUGCUGGACGGUUGACAGCUUGAACUGACGUUUCAAUGUGUUUGAAAUUUUCACGCUUCAAACAAGUUGCUCUGUUUCUGCUGCUACUUUUUCAUUUAUAAUCAGUUAAUUUGCCAAUAAACGCAGAAAAUUUGGUGGAAAUGUGAAAAAAAGCUUGCUGCUCUUCCCGCUGGCCCUGCGGAAAGCUAAUUUGGCUGAGAUUUUACAAGUUAGCCAUCUCCUAGUGGACUGAAUCAACUGGAACCGGCCCUCAAUGUUCUCCGCCGUGAAAUCAUUUUGUUUCUUCGAAACAGGUUCAUCAAUCAACUCGGGAGUGCGAGAGCUCGAGCCUCGUUGCCGAGCCAUGGAUGGCGCCGCGAAAGUUCUCAAUUCUUGAAUGUUCUGCCCUGAAGGAUGCCCAACACAGGAAAAGAAAAUAAUUUGGAAAUAAAUAAUGCUGUGUGGAAACGCG